rnacentral:rRNA from 1 species
CCCUUAGAUGUUCUGGCCCGCACGCGCGCUACACUGAUGCAUUCAACGAGUUUCUUCCUGGUCCGAGAGGAAUGGGUAACCUUUUGAAAGUGCAUCGUGAUAGGGAUAGACUAUUGCAAUUAUUGGUCUUCAACGAGGAAUUCCUAGUAGACGUAGUUCAUCAGACUGCAUCGAUUACGUCCCUGCCCUUUGUACACACCGCCCGUCGCUCCUACCGAUUGAAUGCUCAGGUGAGCCAUUCGGACUUUCAUCAUGCUGGUUUCCAGUUUUGAUGAAGGAAAGUCUUGCGAACCUUAUCAUUUAGAGGAAGGAGAAGUCGUAACA